UACGUAGGCAGCAAGCGUUGUUCGGAGUUACUGGGCGUAAAGGGUGCGUAGGCGGUCCUAUAAGUAUGGUGUGAAAGCCCACGGCUCAACCGUGGAGGGUCAUUGGAAACUGGGGGACUUGAGUGCAGAAGAGGAAAGCGGAAUUCCACGUGUAGCGGUGAAAUGCGUAGAGAUGUGGAGGAACACCAGUGGCGAAGGCGGCUUUCUGGUCUGUAACUGACGCUGAGGCGCGAAAGCGUGGGGAGCAAACAGG
rnacentral:rRNA from 1 species